ACUGAACGCUGGCGGCAUGCCUUACACAUGCAAGUCGAACGGCAGCACGGGGCAACCUGGUGGCGAGUGGCGAACGGGUGAGUAAUGCAUCGGAACGUACCUUUCAGUGGGGGAUAACGUAGCGAAAGUUACGCUAAUACCGCAUAUUCUGUGAGCAGGAAAGCAGGGGAUCGCAAGACCUUGCGCUGAUUGAGCGGCCGAUGUCAGAUUAGCUAGUUGGUGAGGUAAAGGCUCACCAAGGCGACGACCUGUAGCGGGUCUGAGAGGAUGAUCCGCCACACUGGAACUGAGACACGGUCCAGACUCCUACGGGAGGCAGCAGUGGGGAAUUUUGGACAAUGGGGGCAACCCUGAUCCAGCCAUGCCGCGUGAGUGAAGAAGGCCUUCGGGUUGUAAAGCUCUUUCGGCCGGGAGGAAAUCGCACGGGCUAAUACCCUGUGUGGAUGACGGUACCGGAAUAAGAAGCACCGGCUAACUACGUGCCAGCAGCCGCCGUAAUAC
rnacentral:rRNA from 1 species